CAAGGUGUUUCUGAAUGUGUCCCUGGGCUCCCCAUGUCCCACUCCCCUCCAUCCACCUCACUGGGAGAGUGGAAAAGCCACAGCCGGAUCCAAAUAGGAACCAGCCAGCAAAAUAGGAACCAGCACACAGGAGGGGCAGUUAAGCUUAAUAGCGUUUCUUAUGAUGCAUCUCCUUGGGAAUAACAGGAAGAGGAUCGGUGUGUAGGAAGAGGGGAGGGGAGGCUCUGAAGUAGCCUGUGAUCCUUGAAGUGAUGGACUCAAAGCCUUGCCUCUAGGAGGCCAGUGUGACGAUGGGGAGCCAGCAGAUGGAUUAAUGACCUAGAAUACGAGGUGCCAGUCCCAAGAGCACAGAGCCUAAGAAAGUAUUACACACAUGACCAAAAGCAGAAAGCCGACAUCUAACCAGGCGGUGAAAUAUGGGGUCAAGUUCCAUCUCAUAAGAUGAUCCAUCACCAUUGUUCCAUUUUGGGGCCACAAGCAGCUGGCUACAGGAGGUGGAAGCCCAGUGCGAGCUUGCGAAAACACCAAGGAAGACAGCAAUGGCUCAUCGGGCCACAUUCAGAGAGAGAUGAAGAACAAAGAAAGACUGGGCCUAUUUAUCCUUUUUCAUAUCGCUUCUAGUUUUUCCAAAAGGGAGAAUGGUCUUCACAUUGAAAAUGGCUGAACACAUCACCAGAUGAACACCAAGCUGAGUGAGGAAUUACUAAAUGUGUGUUGAGUCAUUUCGGGUGAAUUCAGACCCACAGGUCAGGGUCUAGAAGCAGUGGUCCCGGUGGGCUCAGGAUUCUGCUGCCAAGAAACUUCUUGCAUUGCCUGAUUUCUCAUUAUUCAGGUGGUGGCUUCAAUGUCAGUUCUUCAAAGGGUGGUCCCUGACCACCCUAAGGAUUUGUCCAUCCCCCCACUGGCCUGUGAACUCUACAGGACAGAGAUUAUUUCCUCUCUCGUCCCCAGUGUAUACCCAGCACCUGGCAUAGUCCUCGGUACAUAGGAAAUGCUCCAUCACUACUUGUUAAGUGAAUAGCUAACAUUUUUGAGCACUUUGUAUGUGACAAGCACUCUUCUGAGUGCUUUAUAUGUGUUAAGUCACUUAGGGAGGAAGCGACAAAGGGAGGAAGGAAAAAGGGAGGAUAAGAAAAGAGAAGAUAGACUGACAGAUGUCUCCAUUUUCAAAAUCAAUCUUCCAAGAAAUGGAAGAACUAAAAAUUGGGAAGCCCGACGUUUAUCCCCAAAACAAAUCCAGAGUGAAUUCUUAAACAGAGACGUUGUGAACACAAGCAUAGAAUGAAUCUAUAAAAAGGCCUGAAUUUAGGUUUUCCCAAAUCUGUUGCACAAGUACAGGGUGUAUAGAAAUAUAUGUGAAACCAAAUAAAAAUGAAAACCUGAAACACUUAGCCUGCUGCAAUCUUUUUUUUUUUUUUUAAGAUUUAUUUAUUCAUUUGAGAGAGAGAGCAUGGGGUGGGACAGAGGGAGAGAAUCUUAAGCAGACUCCCCACUGAGCAUGGAGCCCGACACGGGGCUUGAUCCCCCUACCCUGAGAUCAUGACCUGAGUGAAAAUCAAGAGUCCGACGCUCAACCGACUGAGCCACCCAGGCGCCCCAAGCAAUCUUGGUAUACAAGUUAGUGUUAUGCUCCAGCCAAAAGGGAGUGUGGGGAUAACAGAGUUAUGGGCAACAUGGCAGGGUCUUAGAAAGAACAUGAGUCAAGUUGACCUGGUGACUUUGAGCAAGUUACUUAGAAUUUCUGAGGUUUUCUUGACUUACCUGUGUAUACAUGCCUGCAAGAGUUAUUAUGAAGAUUAAAAUACAGAAAGAAGGUCCUGGCACAUGGUAAGCUUUAAAUAAGGUGAGUUCAGCUCUUCCUUUCCCUUCCUUUGGUCUUUAUUGUACUUUGUACCAGGCCAGUCAUGGAUGGAACCCUAAAUUUCAUUCCAGUCACUACAUUUUAAGGAACACAAAGACGAACAACAAAUACAGCUGGAGGAAAGAUACCAGAUUGGGGAAGCAGUUGGAAACAACAUCUUAUUAUAAUAAUAGUAUCUUGUGUUUCUCUAACAUCUUCUAAUUUUCAGAAGGUUUGAUACCAGAGACAAUACUAUCAGGUAAGCAGAAAAAUAUUAAGAUGACAUUUUAUACAUGACUCUAUAAAUGCCUAGAGAGAUUAAGGGCCCACCAAACAUCACAUCACUCAUAAAUAACCAAGGCAGGGCACAAGUGCAAGUAUACUGAGCAUUCACCUAGCAAUUUCCUUUCUUUUACACUGUGUCCCCUAUAAGCAAUGGUACAAGGAACUGGGGCAUAUUCUGGAGAUAUCUAAGGGAAGACAUGAUAACUGCCUUAAAAUAUGUGAAAGAUUGUCCUGUGGUAAAGGGACUAGACCACACGCUCAAGUACAGACCAGAUCAAUGAGUGGAGAUCACCACCGUUCAAGCAUUGGGUCAACUCCAGGGGGACCUUUGGAGCCAUUGAGAUUUUUAAGACAUUUGGGCGACACGAUUGGCAUCAACAGUGGAGACUUCAACAACUGACAGGGACGCUUAUAUCCACCUAAAUGUUGCUGUAUUUUCAAUAUUGAACGGACCUACGAACAAGCCCGCCUGGCCGCGUGAGCGUCCCGUUCAUCUCUCUAAACUAGCACCAACAACAUGACAGGGUGGUGGUGGCUUUGUCUUUCCACACCCUCCUUCUAAGGGACUCAUCCCACUGAUUCUCGGACAAUCUCGGAAGCCAGCUGCAGUUGGUACGGAGGGCAGGUCACCUUCACUCUCCACCCCUCUGAAAGGGAAAAACUGUAACCAUGUGCUAUUCUAAAGCAUUUCAAUAUUUGCAUUUCUAAUUCCUAUAAAUGCUAUAAAUUAUAAGCAUUUAUUUUAUGAAACUUGGAAAGAUCGCUAUUUGUCUCAAAUUAUACCAGUUACGCCGGCAUCACACACCAGAACGCAGAAUUAUGGAACAUAUGAGACAGAAACCUGACACUCAGUUUCCUGCGAUGUGUUAAGCAGAGAGGAAAAAAAAUUGUACUGCUGUCUAAAAAGCUGGAUAAUCAGUCUGAAACCUCAAAUUAUAAGAUUAAAUCAAUAAAGAAAACAAUUGAAAAGGUACAUUCAAAUCAGAACCUCUGAAGAGAGUCCAAGGGACAAAUUGGAGAGCUGAAUAA